AAAGUUUCCUAACUAGACACGUUAUAAACGGGCAUGUACCGAUAGCACGUUAUCAAUUAAUAAAAUUUUGUUUUAUGACAAUCAAUUCCAAAUCCUAAUUUUCCUAAUGCAUCGAUCUUUGCCUUUUUUAAGUAGUUAUUUUGAUAGGGAGGGUUUAGCCACGAAAAUCAUCCCUCCAUCGUCGGCUGCAUCCCUCACCCACGUCGCUGUUGCAGGAUCUUCAUCCGUCAUCCUGAGCAAUUGGGGCGGCGAUGCGGGCGAGCUUCACGAUAGUGGGGAGGACCAGGCCGCGGUGAAGGCAGGUCAUGCGCUCCUCACGCUCCACGAACGGAACCUGCGCACGGAGGCGGUAGCGCGGGGUGGCAGCCGGCAAUGAGGCGGCCGCGCUACGUGACGAGCUACGGGUCCCCCUUUGUGAUGUUUUGGCAUCGCUCCUUCAUCGCACAUCCUCAGGCGAUGGCGGUGGUGUCGCUGAUGGCGGCGAGGACAGCAUGUGGCAGCUCCCGAAGCAUGAACACGACCGCACCUCGGGCCUGCCGUCUGCCAAGAUAUGGCUCUGGCCGAUUGACAAUGGAGGUUUGGGAUCCUUCCUCUCAGCACCCACUCCUGGAAGAAUCAGCGGUGCGCCACGCCGAUUGAACCCCGUCGAGAUCACUCGCCAAGAUUGCUAUUCUGAAGUUUAUUGUAAAGAAAGUGAAGAGUGAGACAGGAUCCGUUUAUUUUCAACCGGUUUAUUUUCAACCGGUUUAUUUCCAUCAAAUUACCCCCACCCCCACGCCCACCCACCGAAACGCGCCCAGCGAACCGGGGAGAGAUCCAUU